rnacentral:lncRNA from 1 species
UGCCCCUCUACCCGGAUCUCCAGCAGUCAAUGGAGAUCAUAUCCACCUCCAAUCCCACCUCUCUCUCUUCUUGAAUUCCACCUCUCCCACUCUGCGUCUUCUUCAUCCUCAUUGAUGCGGUGACCGUAGCCACCCUCACCUACACCAACCUCCUGAUAUCCGCCCGUGCCUUCGCUGAUCCUGGUGUUCACCGUGGUGACAUCGUC